rnacentral:rRNA from 1 species
GAUGAACGCUGGCGGCGUGCCUAAUACAUGCAAGUCGAGCGAACAGACGAGGAGCUUGCUCCUUUGACGUUAGCGGCGGACGGGUGAGUAACACGUAGGUAACCUACCUAUAAGACUGGGAUAACUUCGGGAAACCGGUGCUAAUACCGGAUAAUAUUUCGAACCGCAUGGUUCGAUAGUGAAAGAUGGCUUUGCUAUCACUUAUAGAUGGACCUGCGCCGUAUUAGCUAGUUGGUAAGGUAACGGCUUACCAAGGCAACGAUACGUAGCCGACCUGAGAGGGUGAUCGGCCACACUGGAACUGAGACACGGUCCAGACUCCUACGGGAGGCAGCAGUAGGGAAUCUUCCGCAAUGGGCGAAAGCCUGACGGAGCAACGCCGCGUGAGUGAUGAAGGUCUUCGGAUCGUAAAGCUCUGUUAUUAGGGAAGAACAAACGUGUAAGUAACUGUGCACGUCUUGACGGUACCUAAUCAGAAAGCCACGGCUAACUACGUG